GGAGGGUGCAAGCGUUGUUCGGAAUUAUUGGGCGUAAAGCGCGUGUAGGCGGCCUUGUAAGUCUGAUGUGAAAGCCCGGGGGCUUAACUCCGGAAGUGCAUUGGAUACUGCUUGGCUAGAGGGCGAGAGAGGGAAGCGGAAUUCCUGGUGUAGGGGUGAAAUCCGUAGAUAUCAGGAGGAACAUCUGUGGCGAAGGCGGCUUCCUGGCUCGUUUCUGACGCUGAGACGCGAAAGCGUGGGGAGCAAACAGGAUUAGAUACCCUGGUAGUCCACGCCCUAAACGAUGGAUACUAGUCGUUGGGAUACCUAAUCUUCUCAGUGACGUAGCUAACGCGCUAAGUAUCCCGCCUGGGGAUUACGAUCGCAAGAUUA
rnacentral:rRNA from 1 species